rnacentral:rRNA from 1 species
AAACUUUCAACAACGGAUCUCUUGGUUCUGGCAUCGAUGAAGAACGCAGCGAAAUGCGAUAAGUAAUGUGAAUUGCAGAAUUCAGUGAAUCAUCGAAUCUUUGAACGCACAUUGCGCCCCUUGGUAUUCCGAGGGGCAUGCCUGUUCGAGCGUCAUUACACCACUCAAGCUCAGCUU